rnacentral:rRNA from 1 species
CCUACGGGAGGCAGCAGUGGGGAAUUUUGGACAAUGGGCGCAAGCCUGAUCCAGCAAUGCCGCGUGCAGGAUGAAGGCCUUCGGGUUGUAAACUGCUUUUGUACGGAACGAAACGGUCCUUUCUAAUACAAGGGGCUAAUGACGGUACCGUAAGAAUAAGCACCGGCUAACUACGUGCCAGCAGCCGCGGUAAUACGUAGGGUGCGAGCGUUAAUCGGAAUUACUGGGCGUAAAGCGUGCGCAGGCGGUUAUAUAAGACAGAUGUGAAAUCCCCGGGCUCAACCUGGGACCUGCAUUUGUGACUGUAUAGCUAGAGUACGGUAGAGGGGGAUGGAACUCCGCGUGUAGCAGUGAAAUGCGUAGAUAUGCGGAGGAACACCGAUGGCGAAGGCAAUCCCCUGGACCUGUACUGACGCUCAUGCACGAAAGCGUGGGGAGCAAACAGGAUUAGAUACCCUGGUAGUCCACGCCCUAAACGAUGUCAACUGGUUGUUGGGUCUUCACUGACUCAGUAACGAAGCUAACGCGUGAAGUUGACCGCCUGGGGNGGACGCGCGAGUAGAAGUAAUAGAGUAGAGNGNGAGAGNGCGACGACGACGACGAGGGAGGAGG